ACUUGAUCCUGUUGUUUAUUUUUAAGCCAGAGGCCUCACCAUCCUUGUCUUUCCCUUGACUCAGGGAGACCGCACAGUAAGCCAAGGAUUGGACGUUUGCAUUCUUCGCAUAUCUUUGAACUGAUAUCAUGACAGCUUGCUGGAGGAAAGCUCUUCCAUUUUCAGUCUGUCCGCCAAGCAUCUCGUCUGUUUUUGAGAAAGGCUGUCUGGUGAUUCCAGAACCGUAUUUUCCUGCUUCCUUUUCAACGUCUGGAAUGUCCUGGGCUUCCUGGCCACCCAGAACAAGCUGACAUGUGGUAUGGCUUCAGGAAGAAGGGGAAAUUGCAAAUCAAACAAACAAGCAAACAAACAAAACCAGGUAGCUGCCGUUACAUGAGCCAACAUAGUGUAU
rnacentral:lncRNA from 11 species